CCGGCACCGUGAAAAUUAAGUUAGGCCCCGUGUCAGAGAAGGGCUUCCCUUCCUUCCCUGCCCUCCCCCAGCCUGUGCCGCCUUCCCGCCGGCCCCAAGCCCCUUCCCUCCCUUCUCCUCCCUCCCCUCCCGCCUCCUCUUCACCCCUCCCCCCUCCCCCCCGCCCCGCCCCUCCUCCCCUCCCCUCCCCUCCUCCCCUCGCCGGCGGGAAGUGCGCAUCCCUGGGCAGCAGUUGGUCCACUGGCCGGCCCGGAGCGCCUGGCGCGCGGGACUCUGUGGGUGCCCAGGGGAGCUGAGAAGCUCCCUGAAGCUCCAGUGCUACGUGGAUUGCCUAAUUAGAUGUCCUGUCCGUCCCGCGCGCUGGCACCGGUCUCCUGGGAAAUUAAUUCGCGUCGGCCACGAACCGGAACCGGAGGCGCGUACAAGAUCUGAGAGGGAUGACGGGCGUGCUUGGAAGCGGUCCUGCUGUGCACACCUGCUUUUUCCGGAGCUACAAGGAGGGCGCAUGCUACAUUUUAGAAGUGCUUUGGGGCAGAGGAAGCCUUCCCCGAGGGACUAACUACCUCCUGAGUCUGAAGUGGACUUUCGGUCCAGAAAAUAUUCUACUUUCUUCAGAUUGCAAAACCGAGUUUUCUGGCUCCCCGCUUGUAUCUUGUCCUUUUUAUCUGUGCUUUUUACCCAAUUUCUAGUUACUGUCAGAGGACUACAGAAGCCAAAUAUAGUUGUCUCCUGGUACCGGUGGGGGAGUUGAUGUAGAGCCUCCUACGAAGACAAGUCCCUUGGACGCUCAGGUCCCUUGUAUAAAAAGCCCUACACUUGUAACCCCAACAUUCUGGGAAGCCAAGUCAGAAGGAGUCAAAGUUCAAGCUCAGCGUAGGCAAUUUAGCAACUUAGACCCUAUUUCGAAAUUUAAAAAAUAAAAUUUUUAAACUGGGGCUGUGACUCAGUGCUAAGGGCCUGGGCUCAAUGCUUAGCACCCCAAAAAGAAAAACAAAAGGUAUAGCCUCUGUCUAUAACCUACACACAUCCUCCUCCAUAUUUUAAUCAUCUCUAGAUUGCUUAUAUCCCUAAUACAAUGUAAUGUUAUGUAAAUAAUUAUCAUCCCUAAUAGAAUGUAAAUGUUAUGUAAAUAAUUGUUGAAUUAUUUAGGGAAUGAUUAAAAAAGAAGCCUGUACAAGUUCAGCAGAGACACAUUUUAGUUUCUCCAGUUGGAUGAAUCUGCAGAUUACGGAGCCUGAGAUGGGAGGGUGAAUUGUGUCCUCUUUGCAAUGAUUCUAAAAAGGUUCCUCUCUGAGAACAA
rnacentral:lncRNA from 1 species